rnacentral:rRNA from 1 species
UACGGAGGGUGCAAACGUUGCUCGGAAUCAUUGGGCGUAAAGCGCACGUAGGCGGUCCAGCAAGUCGGGGUGUGAAAGCCCUCGGCUUAACCGAGGAAGUGCAUCCGAAACUGGCAGGCUAGAGUACUAAAGAGGAUCGCGGAAUUCCCGGUGUAGAGGUGAAAUUCGUAGAUAUCGGGAGGAACACCGGUGGCGAAGGCGGCGAUCUGGGUAGAUACUGACGCUGAGGUGCGAAAGCGUGGGGAGCAAACAGGG